rnacentral:rRNA from 1 species
CCUACGGGUGGCAGCAGUGGGGAAUAUUGCGCAAUGGGCGAAAGCCUGACGCAGCGAAGCCGCGUGAGGGAUGAAGGUCUUCGGAAUGUAAACCUCUGUCAGCAGGGAAGAACGGUCACUGUGCUAAUCAGCAGUGAAUUGACGGUACCUGCAAAGGAAGCACAGGCUAACUCCGUGCCAGCAGCCGCGGUAAUACGGCGGGUGCGAGCGUUAAUUGGUAUUACUGGGCGUAAAGCGCUCGUAGGCGGUAUGUCAAGUCAAGGGUGAAAUCCCCGCGCUCAACGUGGGAACUGCCUUUGAAACUGGCGAACUGGAGUGAGGGAGAGGAUAGUGGAAUUCCUGGUGUAGGGGUGAAAUCCGUAGAUAUCUGGAGGAACAUCGAUGGCGAAGGCGACUAUCUGGCACAUAACUGACGCUGAGGAGCGAAAGCGUGGGUAGCAAACAGGAUUAGAUACCCCUGUAGUC